rnacentral:rRNA from 1 species
AUUGAACGCUGGCGGCAUGCUUUACACAUGCAAGUCGAACGGCAGCGCGGGCUUCGGCCUGGCGGCGAGUGGCGAACGGGUGAGUAAUACAUCGGAACGUGCCCAGUAGUGGGGGAUAGCUCGGCGAAAGCCGGAUUAAUACCGCAUACGACCUGAGGGUGAAAGCGGGGGAUCUUCGGACCUCGCGCUAUUGGAGCGGCCGAUGGCAGAUUAGCUAGUUGGUGGGGUAAAGGCCUACCAAGGCGACGAUCUGUAGCUGGUCUGAGAGGACGACCAGCCACACUGGGACUGAGACACGGCCCAGACUCCUACGGGAGACAGCAGUGGGGAAUUUUGGACAAUGGGCGAAAGCCUGAUCCAGCAAUGCCGCGUAUGUGAUGAAGGCCUUCGGGUUGUAAAGCACUUUUGGCGGGAACGAAAAGGACUGUGCCAAUACCACGGUUCGAUGACGGUACCCGCAGAAUAAGCACCGGCUAACUACGUG